rnacentral:rRNA from 1 species
CAGCAGCCGCGGUAAUGCGAAGGGUGCAAGCGUUAAUCGGAAUUACUGGGCGUAAAGCGUGCGUAGGCGGUUUGUUAAGUCUGUUGUGAAAUCCCCGGGCUCAACCUGGGAAUGGCAAUGGAUACUGGCAAGCUAGAGUGUGUCAGAGGAUGGUGGAAUUCCCGGUGUAGCGGUGAAACGCGUAGAGAUCGAGAGGAACAUCAGUGGCGAAGGCGGCCAUCUGGGACAACACUGACGCUGAGGCACGAAAGCGUGGGGAGCAAACAGGAUUAGAUACCCGCGUAGUCCCUGUCUCUUAUAC